rnacentral:rRNA from 1 species
CACGUAGGGCGCAAGCGUUGUCCGGAAUUAUUGGGCGUAAAGAGCUCGUAGGCGGUCUGUUGCGUCCGCUGUGAAAACCCGGGGCUUAACCCUGGGCUGGCAGUGGAUACGGACAGACUAGAGGUAGGUAGGGGAGAAUGGAAUUCCUGGUGUAGCGGUGAAAUGCGCAGAUAUCAGGAAGAACACCCGUGGCGAAGGCGGUUCUCUGGGACGGUACUGACGCUGAGACGCGAAAGCGUGGGGAGCGAACAGG